CGGCGCGGGUGGAAUUCCCGCGAUCUGUCUCAUUCCCUGCGCCGCCGAGAAAAGUGAGAUCCCGCGAGACUCCCAGGGGUCUCAUUCUGUCACCCAGGUUGGAGUGCAGUGGCAACAUCAUAGCUCACUGCAGCCUUGAACCCCUGGGCUCAAGUGAUCCUCCUGCUUCAGCCUCCUGAGUAGCUGGGGCUACAGGCACUUUCCCUACAUUUUCAAAGGCCUGCAUCAUCACAUCUGCCGCAGCAUUCUCUAUCAUUGAGACAUUUUCUCAGGAAAUCACCUGUGAAAUAUUUUGCAGCUAACCACCUACCUGUGCCCCACCAGCCAACAUGCUUUACUCCUGCCAGGCAGCUGUGUCACUCUGGAAGCUUUGAUCAGAAAAUUGUAGUUGCUGUUGCCUCUGAUGUGCAAGUCCAAGAUUCUUGGGCCGCAGGACAUGUUCUGCAUAUAUUCCUGGAGAAUAGACCAACAAUGAGACUGAAUCAGUAACGAAAAGUCUUCUAUGAAAGAAAAACCCAGAACCAGAUUGCUUUACUGCUUAAUUCUAAUAAACUCAUAAAGAACAACAAACACCAAUUCUUCUCAAACUAUUCCAAAAAAAUUGAAGCAGGGCAGGGAGGAAUUCUUCCUAACUCAUUCUAAAAGGCCAGCAUUAUCCUGAUACCAAAACCAGACAAGGACACAGCAAAAACAGAGAACUACAGGCCAAUAUCCCUGAUGAUGCUAAAUGGAAAAAUCCUCAACAAAAUACUAGCAAAACCAAUGCAACAACACAGAAAAGAUAAUACACCAUGAUCAAAUGAGAUUUAUCCCAAGUAUGCAAUCAUGAUUCAACAUACACAAAUCAAUACUUGUGAUACAUCACAUCAACAGAGUGAAGGACCAAAAGACAUAUGAUCAUCUCAACAGAUACAGAAAAAGAUUUGAUAUGAUUCAAAAUCCCAUUAUGAUAAAAACUUUUAUUUU
rnacentral:antisense_RNA from 1 species